rnacentral:rRNA from 1 species
UACGAAGGGGGGCUAGCGUUGCUCGGAAUUACUGGGCGUAAAGCGCGCGUAGGUGGCCAUUUAAGUCCGCUGUGAAAGUCAAAGGCUCAACCUUUGAAAGCCGGUGGAUACUGGAUGGCUAGAGUACGGAAGAGGCGAGUGGAAUUCCUGGUGUAGCGGUGGAAUGCGCAGAUAUCAGGAGGAACACCAAUAGCGAAGGCAGCUCGCUGGGACGUUACUGACACUGAGGCGCGAAAGCGUGGGGAGCGAACA